AUUGAACGCUGGCGGCAGGCCUAACACAUGCAAGUCGAGCGGAUGAAGGGAGCUUGCUCCUGGAUUCAGCGGCGGACGGGUGAGUAAUGCCUAGGAAUCUGCCUGGUAGUGGGGGAUAACGUCCGGAAACGGGCGCUAAUACCGCAUACGUCCUGAGGGAGAAAGUGGGGGAUCUUCGGACCUCACGCUAUCAGAUGAGCCUAGGUCGGAUUAGCUAGUUGGUGGGGUAAAGGCCUACCAAGGCGACGAUCCGUAACUGGUCUGAGAGGAUGAUCAGUCACACUGGAACUGAGACACGGUCCAGACUCCUACGGGAGGCAGCAGUGGGGAAUAUUGGACAAUGGGCGAAAGCCUGAUCCAGCCAUGCCGCGUGUGUGAAGAAGGUCUUCGGAUUGUAAAGCACUUUAAGUUGGGAGGAAGGGCAGUAAGUUAAUACCUUGCUGUUUUGACGUUACCAACAGAAUAAGCACGGGCUGACUUCGUG
rnacentral:rRNA from 1 species